GCUCCGGUAGUGUAGCUCGGCCAAUCAUGAAGGACUCUCACUCCUUCGACUAGGGUUCAAAUCCCUACCGGAGCACCA
rnacentral:tRNA from 2 species